UUUUUUUUUUUUUUUUUUUUUUUAAUAGAGAUGGGGUCUCACUGUGUUGCCAGGGCUAAAGACUGCUUAUUUUGAUGUGCAAAAUAAGUGUUCAGAGUAGGUGGUUUAACUUCUAUCAGUCAACUUUUUGGUUUCCAAAAGGAUUCUUAAUGAUACAUAUGUCUUGGAUCUUUGGUGUUGGAAAUAGCAAAUGGUAAGCUUGUGGUUUGCCAUUUCUCCUACUGUUUUAUGUGGUCCUACGUGUUGACUCUGGUGCUAGAGUACAGAAGGCUCAUGUGAUUAGGUUUAACGACUUCUUUAGCCACUAAAUCUUACUGAGUUGUUGAUGAACCAAGGUAGAAUAGGGCGAUUGACUAUAAAGAGGUGGAUUUGGUAGAACUUCAGAAUGAUGGAAGUGCAAAGUUUGCAUUAGGCCCCUCAAGAAAUAAGGCAAAGCCACCUCUGGGUGCUAUGCUGAGGGUUCCAGUCUGGUUGGGAUUUAGCAUGACAAAAAGUGGUACAGUUCAGCAUUUCAUCUAUGCCUUUUGCCACAGACAGGGCCCUUAAAUGGAAAUACAACUUGACUUUGGAGGUGGCUUUGAGGAAGGCAGUACUUAAAGGACACAGCAGGGCUCUGCUUCAAAGAAUUACACCCUUUGAAAUUGAGCUAUUGUGGCUGGGUGCGGUGGCUCACUCCUGUAAUCCUAGCACUUUGGGAGGCUGAGGCAGGUGGAUCACCUGAGGUCAGAAGUUUAAGACCAGCCUGCCCAGCAUGGCAAAACCCCAUCUCUACUAAAAAUACAAAAAAAUAGCCAGGCAUGGUGGUGGGCGCCUGUAAUCCCAGCUACUCACGAGGCUGAGGCAGGAGAAUGGCGUGAACCCGGGAGGCGGAGCUUGCAGUGAGCUGAGAUCGCGCCACUGCUCUCCAGCCUGGGCAACAGAGCGAGACUCCAUCUCAAAAAAAAAAAAAAAGAAAUUGAACUAUUGUUUGCUAUCUAGAGCUUGAAAACUCUCUUAGUAUCUUUCGUGGGAGGUAGAAGAUAAGAAAAUCUGGGUGUUGGCCGGGCUCGGUGGCUCAUGCCUGUAAUUCCAGCACUUUGGGAAGCCGAGGCAGGUGGAUCACCUGAGGUCAGGAGUUCGAGACCAGCCUGACCAACAUGGAGAAAGCCCAUCUCUACUAAAAAUACAACAUUAGCCGGGUGUGGUGGUACAUGCCUGUAAUCCCAGCUAUUUGGGAGGCUGAGAAAGGAGAAUUGCUUGAACCUGGGAGGCUGAGGUUGCAGUGAGCCGAGAUUUCGCCAUUGCACCCCAGCCUGGGCAACAAGAGUGAAACUCUGUCUCAAAAAAAAAAAAAAAA
rnacentral:sRNA from 1 species